AUGGGAGGGCCAGGGAUCGCCACUGAUCUUUAUUUUUCAGAUUUGAGAGUCUUGUGGCCUUUACAGAAUCCAUUCCCCAUUCUCUCUACCCACAGAAUUCAUAUCAGAAUUGUGCAAACGGAAAUGUCCAAGAAAACAACUAUAGUCCCAGGUUACCUGGUUGGUAGCUGGUACAGUGGGGCCAGAGCCCACGCACAAGCAUUUCCCAGCCAUUCAGCUAAGUCUGACACAUCAAGGACCGCUGGCGCAGUCAUGUUAUGGGGAGUGAGGUGGAGCAUCAAGCAACAGGAUGCAAAAGGGAAGGGCAGUCUGCCUCACCAUCAUCCCACGGGACUGCCCUGGGGAGGACAGAUGUUCUAUCAAGGGAUUGCUGCCUGGGAGACCCACGCACAGAUGUCAGCAGAAAUGAUGUGAAGGGGCACACAGAGGACCCAGCAAGGUGAUAGCACUAGUGGGAGGAUUAGCCUAGAUCCAUUGGACACUGGAGCCCGGGAUUUGACAAACCUGAGAAUUCUACAGCACCCACUCAUCUUAAGGUAUGGGGGAGACCUGUCACCUCUAAUUUCAUUUAGAAUGUUGUGUUAGUCUGUUAAAGCUGAAGUGACAAAGCAGCAUAGACCAAGUGUUUAUAAAAAGCAGAAGUUUGUUUCUCACAGUUCUGGAGGGGUGAGAUCAGGUGCCACCAUGGUUGGGUUCUGGAGAGGGCUUUGGGCUUUCUUCUGGGUUGCAGGCUGACCCUUGUUGUCUUCUCACAUGGCAGAAAAAGGGCCUGAGAGCUCUCUCUGGGGUCUCCUAUACAAGGGCACUAAUCCCAUUUGUGAGGGCUCCACCCUUAUGACCUGAUCACCUCCCAAAAACCCCACCUCCAAAUGCUAUCAUAUGGCAGGGAAGGAGACCAGGGGGCAGGGGGUAGUGGGGAAGUGUUAGAACUUCUACAUAUGAGUUUUAGGAAGACAAAACAUUUGAUCCAUAGUUAAGUGUAUAUGUUUCAUAUGUUGCCCUGUCUUGGGGAUUCCGAAUGUUUCAUUCUCAGAGGGUUUGUGGGCCCUUGAGAUCAUGGAACAA
rnacentral:lncRNA from 1 species